UGGGCAGACCUAAACAUGCAAGUCGAGCGGUAGAGAGGUGCUUGCACCUCUUGAGAGCGGCGGACGGGUGAGUAAUGCCUAGGAAUCUGCCUGGUAGUGGGGGAUAACGCUCGGAAACGGACGCUAAUACCGCAUACGUCCUACGGGAGAAAGCAGGGGACCUUCGGGCCUUGCGCUAUCAAAUGAGCCUAGGUCGGAUUAGCUAGUUGGGGGGGUAAUGGCUCACCAAGGCGACAAUCCGUAACUGGUCUGAGAGGAUGAUCAGUCACACUGGAACUGAAACACGGUCCAAACUCCUACGGGAGGCAGCAGUGGGGAAUAUUGGACAAUGGGCGAAAGCCUGAUCCAGCCAUGCCGCGUGUGUGAAAAAGGUCUUCGGAUUGUAAAGCACUUUAAGUUGGGAGGAAGGGCAUUAACCUAAUACGUUAGUGUUUUGACGUUACCGACAGAAUAAGCACCGGCUAACUCUGUGCCAGCAGCCGCGGUAAUACAGAGGGUGCAAGCGUUAAUCGGAAUUACUGGGCGUAAAGCGCGCGUAGGUGGUUCGUUAAGUUGGAUGUGAAAUCCCCGGGCUCAACCUGGGAACUGCAUUCAAAACUGUCGAGCUAGAGUAUGGUAGAGGGUGGUGAAUUUCCUGUGUAGCGGUGAAAUGCGUAGAUAUAGGAAGGGAACACCAGUGGCGAAGGCGACCACCUGGACUGAUACUGACACUGAGGUGGCGAAAGCGUGGGGGAGCAAACAGGAUUAGAUACGCUUGUAGUCCACGCCGUAACGAUGUCAACUAGCCGUUGGGAGCCUGAGCUCUAUGGCGCAGCUACGCAUAGUGACCGCUGGGAGUACGCCGCAGUAACUCAAUGAUGACGGGGCCGCCAAGCGGGGGGAACAUGGGGUUUUAUUUCGAAGACAUCA
rnacentral:rRNA from 1 species